rnacentral:tRNA from 1 species
AUUUAUGUAGUUUAAUUAUAAACAUUUUAUUUUCAUUAAAAAAUAAGCUUUAUAAGCUCGUAAAUU